rnacentral:tRNA from 1 species
GGCAUUGUAGCUCAAUUGGUAGAGCACCUGCACAGCAACAUAAGGCCCUGAGUUCAAAUCCUAGUACUGCCA